rnacentral:lncRNA from 1 species
UACAGGUGUGAGCCACCAUGCUCAGCCUGCUCUUGAUUUGCCUAAAAGCUAUUUGAAGAGAGACCAAGCUCUGCAUAUAUUAGAAGGAGUCAACAAUUCCAUGUCGCAACCUGUAGCUAAAUAGCAACAUGUAACUAAAUGGAUGAUAACAAACUCUCAGUUUAUAAGUUGAGUCCAUUAGCUAUGGAAUCAAGCUGAUUUUCAGUAUGCCACUUCUAAGCUAUGUGACCUUGAGGGAAAACUGCUCAACUAUUGAGUCUGUUUCUUCCUCUGAAUGGUGAAGGAUACCACUACCUACCUGAUAGGGUUGUAAUGGAGAUUAAGUACAAAUCCACGUAAAGCCCUCAGCACAGUACCUGUUGGGUUAAGCUGCCUCUAAUUGAUUCUUGCUGUUGAUAUCCUCCAUGAAGAAUUCAAUAAUAGGAAGUUUCUGUGAGGAAGAGAAAUCCUAGCUCGAUCUCUGAUCUUUAUUGUCUUUAAAGAUAUGACACGGUUGUUUGAUUUUUGUCUUCAAGCAUUUAGAGCUAGAAAAAAGAAAUUCCCUUCUGAAAGUAUGAGGAGAGAAAGGGAGAUGGAUAUCUUGAGACCUCUGGAAAGUGGUGGGUUUUGCGGCAGAUAUGAGAUACAGAUCCCUAAGCUGUGAAGUAUUAAAUAAUGUAUUACAUCUUUAAGUUUACAGAAAUCAUUGCAACUUUUUUAAAACUCAGACCACUAUUUGCAGUAAGAGUUUGGACUAGAUUUUGCACACUUAGACAAUAGCUUUCAUACUUAAGGAUUUAUUAGAAUGACCUGGAGAGCUUGUUAAAGCAGACUACUGGACCUUACUCCAGAGCUUAUUUCCCAGCAGAUCUGGGGUGGGACCCAAGCAUUUGCAUUUCUAACAAGGAGAAGCUGAUGCUGCUGGUCCAGGGACCACACUUUGAGAACCAAUGUAAUGAUUAAGGAGACAACAGGUAAGUAUGAGAGUGAGAAGAAGAAAUGGUUCAUUAGCAUGCUCGCAAUGUGUCUUCC